rnacentral:lncRNA from 1 species
CAGAGAGGAGGGAGGCUGAGCGGGGCCUGAUGGAUAGGCCCUGGCAGUAGCUUCAGUUGCUCUGCUGGAGUCCUGGGCCUCGCUCUGCACUGUGAGGUCAGGCAAGGGCCAGAGAGCUCCUGGGAGCUUGGGAGGGGCUGGGGAAUGUGCAGAGGGUGUCAGCUCCUUUCCUGAGGAGCUGGGGGAGGAGAGAGUAAGAACAGGCUCCAGGUAGGAGGGGGACACAGCCAGAAGCCAUCUUGGUCCUGUUUCCCUCUUUCUAAAGUGCCCAGUUCUUGUGGUAUGAGGUGCAAGUGGGUGGUGGGGACAGGAUGGGAUGGGGUGUGAAGGCAAAGGACAUCUUGUCACCACCCCGUGCCCUAUCCCAAACACAGCCAUGUACACUUAUCCACACAUGCCUCACUUACAUAGGCACAUGCACACCCACCACAAGCAUACACCUCAUGGACACACACUAGUUCACACCACACCUGGUCAUGUUCAUACACACCCAUGGAUUCACACUCAAAUAUAGGCAGGCACAUAAACCUUCCUUUCACAUGUACAAAAAAAAAAAAAAAGUAACCUGAAUCCACAGAAACACUACCACUUGUAUGCCAGGGUGGGGAUGUGUGUCUGAAUUUACAUUCCUGAAUGUAAUAUGUCUUCUUCUACCUGUUUCUUCACUGUUUCAAAAAUGCAGUGCUUGGAUGCCUUCCUAUUUGGAGUCCUGGAAAGUUCACUCCGUGCUCCAUAAGCUCCGUAUCCCUCCCUCUAUGAACAAGAACUUUAGGGAGGAAAUAGCAUAUGGGAGAUACCCUCCUCGUCUGGGCUCUUCUGGUCACGACACUGGGACCUAGCCUUCUGUCUUUGGAGGCCACUCCCUCAUCUCAGGGAGGGUCCAGUCCUGGGCAAGACUGACCUGACCGUGAGUGGAGAGUGGCUUGGACUUCUGGGAAAGGCUGUCACUGUCCUCUCCCUUUCCGUGUGGUUGUGUGCAACAUUUCCCAGCAGCCCUUUGGAAAAUCCUGCUCCACCAAGGUCUUUAUAAGAUGGCAUGAUGGCAGCUACUGAUCAGUCAGAUCCAGGAUGGUGAGGCUCUUCAUCUUGUCUCCUGAAAGGAAGCUCCAGUCCUCUGCGCACAGUGGAGAUACCUCAGACCAGCUGCUGAUGGAAGAUGUGGAAACCAAGGUGGUUUCUGGUAUACAGAAUUCUGUUCCCUGCUGUGGUACUUUCCCGCUCUCAAACUCAGUGCAAAGUCUGAGUGGGAAAAUCUCUGAAGAAAGUUGGAAUGUUCUUUACUGGCAGAUUUCUCUGUGUCAUGAAUAGGAGAUUGGGUGUUUGUUUGUUUGUUUGGUUUGGUUUGGGUUUUGGUUUCUGAGACUGGGUUCCCUUCCCCGUGUUGAUCUGGCUGUCUUGGACCUUGAUCUAUAGAUCAGGCUGACCUCAAACUAAGAGGUUUACCUACCCCUGCCUCCCAAGUCACUGAGAUUAAA